GCUGAUAUAGCUUAAUGGUUAAAGCUUUAGAUUGUCAAUCUAAAAAUAGGAGUUCGAUUCUCCUUAUCGGCG
rnacentral:tRNA from 1 species